rnacentral:rRNA from 1 species
UACGUAGGGCGCAAGCGUUUAUCCGGAAUUAUUGGGCGUAAAGAGCUCGUAGGCGGUUUGUCGCGUCUGCCGUGAAAGUCCGGGGCUCAACUCCGGAUCUGCGGUGGAUACGGGGCAGGCUAGAGGCUGGUAGGGGCAAGCGGAAUUCCUGGUGUAGCGGUGAAAUGCGCAGAUAUCAGGAGGAACACCGGUGGCGAAGGCGGGUCUCUGGGCCGAUACUGACGCUGAGGAGCGAAAGCGUGGGGAGCGAACAGG